GUGGUGGUGUUCUUCAUGGCCGCCGUGAUCAUCUUCAGUUUCUUCAGCAGGGCGUAGAGGGUAACCACCGUGAUGACCGCCGUGGUGGUGUCCUUCAUGGCC